rnacentral:rRNA from 1 species
AUGUGGCUCAUUUAUCAAAAAUAUAUUUACUUGUCGUGUCAGCACCUAAGUAAUAAGGCGAAUGAGGAGGAGCGUACACACCUCCUUUUCAUCUGGUGGCGAGCAUGGCACCUUAGAAAUAACAUUAUAUUUGGUGACGGGAAAGAUACAAUAAAGGCAUCAGCAGAAUUCCUAGAAAGUUAUGCUAGCUCCUAUGCGGCGAUCAGAGCGGGACAGUCGCUACCUGACUUUAAAGGAAAAGAAAAAACUAAACAGAGAGUUGCAGAUUAUCAAUGGGCCAGACCUAACUCAGGUUGGCUCAAACUAAAUGUUGAUGCAAGCUUUAUUCAGGAGACAAACCAUGGAGCUUGGGGGGCUGUUCUACGAGAUACAAAUGGGGCGGUGAUUGGAUCUGCUUGGAACACAAUCACUAACUGCGCUAGUGCUGAGGCGACCGAAGCUGAAGCCUGUCUUGAAGGAAUCCGAGAUACCAUGCAGUUCAUAGACCGGCCAGUAGUUAUUGAGAGCGACUGUGUGAAUGUCAUCCAACAAAUUUCUUCAAAGGACUUUAAUAGAUCUCCCAUUGGUAGCUUGUGUAGGGAAAUUCAGAGUUUGCUGGGCCAACUUCCUGAUUUUACUAUUGAUAAGAUCUCUAGAAAUGGCAAUAGGGUUGCCCACGCUCUCGCUAGUUUGGGUAGGAGUGGUGUGAGUAAGGGUGUGUUGAUCGGUUCAGUUCCAGCCUGCGUGUUGCGACUGGUCGAUGAUGAUUGUAAUGAACCUAUGUUGAUUAUUUAA